rnacentral:rRNA from 1 species
GAUGAACGCUGGCGGCGUGCCUAAUACAUGCAAGUCGAGCGAACGGACGAGAAGCUUGCUUCUCUGAUGUUAGCGGCGGACGGGUGAGUAACACGUGGAUAACCUACCUAUAAGACUGGGAUAACUUCGGGAAACCGGAGCUAAUACCGGAUGAUAUUUUGAACCGCAUGGUUCAAAAGUGAAAGACGGUCUUGCUGUCACUUAUAGAUGGAUCCGCGCUGCAUUAGCUAGUUGGUAAGGUAACGGCUUACCAAGGCGACGAUGCAUAGGCGACCUGAGAGGGUGAUAGGCCACACGGGAACUGAGCCACGGUCCAGACGCCUGCGGGAGGCAGCAGUAGGGAAUCUUACGCAAUGGGCGAAAGCCUGACGGAGCAACGCCGCGUGAGUGAUGAAGGUAUUCGGAUCGUAAAACUCUGUUAUUAGGGAAGAACAUAUGUGUAAGUAACUGUGCACAUCUUGACGGUAACUAAUCAGAAAGCCACGGCUAACUACGUG